rnacentral:misc_RNA from 1 species
UACGGAGGAUCCAAGCGUUAUCCGGAUUUAUUGGGUUUAAAGGGUGCGUAGGCGGAAUAAUAAGUCAGUGGUGAAAUCCAGCAGCUUAACUGUUGAACAGCCGUUGAUACUGUUAUUCUUGAGUGUAGAUGAAGUGGGCGGAAUGUGUCAUGUAGCGGUGAAAUGCAUAGAUAUGACACAGAACACCGAUAGCGAAGGCAGCUCACUAAACUAUAACUGACGCUGAUGCACGAAAGCGUGGGGAUCAAACAGG